CCUGUUGAGUGUCCGCGGUGGCAGAGGGAGCCAGAUGAAGAACGACAGCUGUAUGCAUGCCAACGGCAGCAGGAUGCUGCGCUGGACUUCUGCUCUGCCAGCCGAAGAUGUGCCAAAUUCACUGGCCCGGAUUCAGAUGGCUGGGUGUCCACUUGGUGUGCCAGCAUGUAAGCCCGGGAACACAUUUGCAUUAACACCGCUUGGCCACCUUUCCCUGUUCCUGCCUCCCGUGCUGCACAGCACAUCGGUCUCCAUCCCAGAAUGUCAUCUUGAGGCUGCUUUUCAGAACCAGUUUUUCAGCGAAACAUGAGCCAGGAAAUUUUAGAUUUUAGAGCACUGUCUAUAAAGUAAACCCAAGAAUCAACACAGAGGAGACGUGAGCCUCCUGAAGAAAUCCAAGGGCCAAAAGACCCAGAGAAAGGACAACAGUCUAACUGGCCAUGCUCCCUCCAGCCUCACAGGGUUAGCCAAGAGCAGCAUCUCGUAUUUGUUAGCUGAAAGCAUCAAGAAGCCUGACACCAGGCACCAAGACAUGGUGCUUAAGCAAUCGGAGAGAUGUAGACCAAAAACCCCAGGAGCUACAGUCCAAAGCAGGCCACAGAGACCCGGACUUCUCCAGGCUGUCCUUUGCACGGGGACUUGGCCAUGCUGGUCCUGCAGAAUAUGCUCGAUCUUCCUCCCGGCAGUCAGCACUUACUCUACCAUCCUGCAAAGACCUGCCCUUCGGAUCACAGAGGCUUGCACACUCACACUGUCACCAACCAGCACUUCCGCAGUCCUUAGACUGACCCCGUCCCAUUAGUGAUGCCGACAGAGCCAUUGAUGGGUCUCCUCUGACCAGCAUCUAAGACCAAUCAACCAGCACUUCAAGCUAAUGUUGCUAAGCUUAACAUGGUAAAUCAAAUAUCUUGUCUCCUAUGAUAUUAUUAAAUGGCUAUAUUUUUUGAGACAGGGUCUCAUUUCCCAGGCUAGCCUCAAACUAUCUAUAUGGUUGAGAAUAGCUCUGAACUUCUGAUGCUCCCAUCUCUGCCUCUCAAACCCUGAAAUUAUAGGUAUGUGCCACCAUCAACAAUUUAUAUAGUGCUGGGGAUUGAACCCAGAACUUCAUUCGUGUUAGGCAAGUGUUCUAUCAACUGAGCUACAUCCCCAGUCCACAGAUGACUGUAAAUUUAAUAAAUGUAUUUAUAUCUGCACUUUUCUUUUUAAGAAGACCAUCGAGCCAGAAUACAUAAGUUACAAAAUCCAAGAAAAGGCUAAAGAAGAAAAGAGUGGAAGAGGAAUGAAAAAACAGGAGGCAUGGAAGGAUGGCGUAUACGUGGUUUCAAAGGUGUGGAUGGUUAAGAGAUGCGUGCGUGAGUGACAGUUGUUUCUCCUGGGUAAAGGGCCGGCAGAAGCCGAAUACGUGAACAGAAAUCUCCGUACAUGAGCACUCAUCACCCACUUCAGAGCCAGAGCAGCUCCUGUUUCUCAGUGAACUUGGAAAUCAGUCUGCAUCUACCUAAUCACCCUGUCAUCAGCUGCCUUUUGUGACAGACAUUUUGAGCAAUUUAGACAUUAUAAACAGCCCAAAGUGCAGAUUUCGCUCACCCGUGGCCUCCCUGUGAAAUAACGACUCCAGCUAUGAGGUACAACGCAACAUCUCGUACUGAAAAACCACGAGAGAUUAAGCACAGAUUUGGCUUGGCCUCUGAAAAAUGAUGUCAAGUGAUGUUGUGGGGGGUAAUUAUUGUGAAGACUUAAUUCCUGUGUCAUCAGGUAUUUGUAGAUAUACAAAGCAUUCUCCUGAUUAAACAGCAUUCAAGGUGACUACAUAGUCCCUGUGAUUGACAGUUUACAGCUCAGACAGACUAAAAAAGAUUAAAAACAUUAGAAAGUG